AAAUUGUUGAAAGGGAAGCGCUUGUGACCAGACUUGCGCCGGGCAGCUCAUCAGGGGUUCUCCCCUGUGCACUCUGCCCGGCUCAGGCCAGCAUCGGUUCUCGUGGGAGGAUAAGAACGGUAGGAACGUGGCCCCCUUCCGGGGGGGUGUUAUAGCCUACCGUACGAUACUCCCGUGGGGACCGAGGUUCGCGCUCCGCAAGGAUGCUGGCGUAAUGGUCAUCAGCGACCCGUCUUGAAACACGGACCAAGGAGUCGUCCAUUAGAGCGAGCGUUUGGGUGUAAAACCCGCACGCGUAAUGAAAGUGAACGCAGGUGAGAGCUUCGGCGCAUCAUCGACCGAUCCUGAUGUCUUCGGAUGGAUUUGAGUAAGAGUUUUAACGGACGGACCCGAAAGACAGUGAACUAUGCUUGUAUAGGGUGAAGCCAGAGGAAACUCUGGUGGAGGCUCGCAGCGGUUCUGACGUGCAAAUCGAU
rnacentral:rRNA from 1 species